AGGUAUAACUUGAAGUCAAAUAAUGCCAUUCUUGCAGAAGAAGGACACAUACCAAUAUAUCAGGAAUUAGUUGACAAAUGGCCAGUAGAGUACAUUGCAGGAGGUGCAACACAGAAUGCAAUAAGAGUUGCACAACAAAGUUGUUGAUGGUGUUGGAUGCUUUACUGGGGAAAACAAGUAACAAACUAUGUAGUGAUUAGAUUUUUCCUUUUUUUUAAACAUUGAUAAUGUGGUCUAUUUGACUGUUUUCUUUUCACAAGUUGUGACAUAUUCUCUUCAUGGUGGAUACAAACAAUUAAGUUCUGCCAAAAAUUUUGUAUUGGCUUUUAUGUUGCCAUUUAUUCUGUUGACUCAAAACAUUUAUUAACAUUUUUACUGUGCUUGCUCUCUUUUGCCAAUUCAUAGUGCCAUAUGUGGAU